rnacentral:miRNA from 14 species
GCUUUACAAGGGAGAGUAGAUUA